UAGGCAGGGAUUGGGGCUUCUUACAGUGUU
rnacentral:piRNA from 1 species